CAGAUAACAUGUUACGUUUGCUUCAUGAUACAUUUUUCAGGUUGCGUCCCGCGGCGACCCGAAAGUACCGGAAAGGUUUACUUCCAGGUUUCGCCGCUCAUGCAUGCGCAGACGCGCAAAAUGACGUCACACGCAUGCGCAGAAGCGGCGAAUCAUGACCCAUGUGUGUGCAGACGCAGGUUGUGUUCUUUUCAUGUUGCAAACAGGCCUCCGGAAUGGAUCCCGUUCGCAAUCAGAGGUACCACUGUACUGUAUCUCUAUGUAUGUAUUGAAGGAUAGAACAUCUGAUGCGGCAAGCACAACUAAUUAAGCAGAGAUGGCCCAAGAUAUAUCAGCAUCUGAAGCAGAAAAUUUAAGCAAUGCCCACCAUGCUAGGAAAAGCAACAGACAAAACAAGUAUGACCUUGCAUCGAAAUGUUCCAGUGUGGGAUGCUUCUAUUAAGGAUUCUAACCACUCCAUUCCACCCCAAGCCUGCUCUGCCUGGUCCCUUCCUCCCCGCCCAACACUCAGCUUUCUGUACCUACAGAGCAUGUUGUCCUCAUGACACCAUUUGGAGGUUUCUCCCUUUUCAGUUUUGGGAGGUGGGGUGGACAGCUGUGAUCAUUCCCAGUUACAUUAACAUGGAUUUCUCCACUGAUGAUAAGCUGUCUUCUGUCCCUGGGUACAUACAAUGAAAUAGCUCUUUCCCCCUUUUUUAAGGACAGAGACAUAACUCUUACUUUGUUCUGGCCACUCCAUUCUACUCUCCCUUCCCACUCAAUUAUCAGGUUCUCACUCCCCAUGCCCUUCUCUCUGUCUUUUGUGCCACAGAGUUACUGUCAGGCUGUUUACUGGGGUCCCCCCCCCCCAGACUUUUUUUCCUUAACUUGUGCAUACUUGGGGUUACUUACCCCCAAGUUCUGCCACUAGUCUCUCGUGCAUUGCUGCUGUGGGUUUAGUUACAUAAGCACAGGAAGCCUCAAAUUGGUAUUAGUGUACAGAUUGACAAUUUGCUGCCCUUUAAUAAGUAUCCUGAAAUUGGUCACGGGUCACCUGGCAAGGUGCCUUACUGUGGAGUGAGCCAAGCCCCUGCCUGAGGACGUGGUCUGUUUAACAAGUUUGUGGCAUGCUCCAUGGGGCUACAGCUAUUUGUCAGUUUCAGCCCUGGCCUUGUUGACAUGGAUAGAAAGGAUUACAAGUUGUGUUGGCACUUCUUAUCCCUUUUCCCCUCCCACAGUAUUCCGUGCCUGCUCAAUUAUGACUUGUGCAAUAUCUUAAAGUGUUGCAAUUCUACAACAAUUGGGUUCCGCAACAAGCUGCAGGGUCAGUCUAUGAGCAUAAAAACACCCCUGCUCAGCAGACACUUAGGCUCUGGGUUCUUUAUGGAAGUAUUUUUCUCAACAGCCUUUCCAUGGCUGUUCAGAAUCAUCAUCCAACCCAUCUAAGGUGAGGUUGAGAUCUUCCUCCAUCUUACCUCCCAUGCGCAUUUUAAUCAAGCAAGCCUUUUCCCAUCUCUCCCAGACUCUCCCCUCCUUGAGUCAACUGCUGAUCCAGAAAAGGAUCUAACAGCCUAAUCUGCACAUUAACAUUUCUUUCCAUUCAGAGGCUAAAGCAAUCAGGAUGAAUUCAUCAUGCAUUUCACUAGCCCAGAUUUCCCUCAACUUGCGCUACAAAACUAAUGUUUCAAUUAUGAGUCCUAAAUUUGAAGGCCUCUUUCAGUGCUGCAGGACUUACCUUGCCUUUUUGUUUAACUGCAUUUUUAGUCUUUCAUUUGAAUUGCUGCGUUUUUAGGAUUUAGUUGUAAUUUUUAACUGGUUUAAAUGUAAAUUGCUUUGAGCUUCCCUUGUAAGAAAAGUGAUGCGAUGAUGAUGCCGUGCCCUUGGCAUUCAGUCCUGAAUUUGGGUGGGAUCUACCAAGUGUCUCUGGUCUAAGGCCAUGAGAAACCAAGGUCCAGGCCUUUUAUUCACACAUAGGCAUCUUAGGGUAUUUUAGAGCACAGUUUUGUUUUUUUUCAGGGUGCAUUUCACAAUUGUUCACAUCAGCACUGCUUCAUUAGUAUCAGAUUCAUUUCUGCUUGUGUACACACCAGGGCAAGUUGACCAAACAGGGGCAUCUUUACCUUAUGCAAAGGUGUUCCACACUUUGGAUAGAGACAAAUUAGGAAUAGCUUAAGGACUGUGGUCCAUCAGAAGCUGGUUUGAGAAUCAACGCAUUGAAAAAGUAGCAUUGCAUAGCAAAGUACAGGAUAUAUGUGCAUUUCAGAUAACCUUGUGUAAACAUGGAUUAAACCCGCGCUGUUAAUGCAAUGAGUGCACAGCAAAUGGG